GGAGCCUCAGCGAGGGAUGGG
rnacentral:misc_RNA from 1 species